rnacentral:tRNA from 1 species
GGAGAGGUGUCAGAGUGGUCGAUUGUGCAGCUUUGCUAAAGCUGUGUGCCGCAAGGCACCGAGGGUUCGAAUCCCUCCCUCUCCG